rnacentral:tRNA from 1 species
GCUAAUUUGGCAGAUUUAAGUGCUUUAAAUUUAGAAUUUAAUUAUGUGUAAUUACAGUUAGUA